UCUGGAUGAACGCUAGCUACAGGCUUAACACAUGCAAGUCGAGGGGCAGCAUGGUCUUAGCUUGCUAAGGCCGAUGGCGACCGGCGCACGGGUGAGUAACACGUAUCCAACCUGCCGUCUACUCUUGGACAGCCUUCUGAAAGGAAGAUUAAUACAAGAUGGCAUCAUGAGUCCGCAUGUUCACAUGAUUAAAGGUAUUCCGGUAGACGAUGGGGAUGCGUUCCAUUAGAUAGUAGGCGGGGUAACGGCCCACCUAGUCUUCGAUGGAUAGGGGUUCUGAGAGGAAGGUCCCCCACAUUGGAACUGAGACACGGUCCAAACUCCUACGGGAGGCAGCAGUGAGGAAUAUUGGUCAAUGGGCGAGAGCCUGAACCAGCCAAGUAGCGUGAAGGAUGACUGCCCUAUGGGUUGUAAACUUCUUUUAUAAAGGAAUAAAGUCGGGUAUGCAUACCCGUUUGCAUGUACUUUAUGAAUAAGGAUCGGCUAACUCCGUGCCAGCAGCCGCGGUAAUACGGAGGAUCCGAGCGUUAUCCGGAUUUAUUGGGUUUAAAGGGAGCGUAGAUGGAUGUUUAAGUCAGUUGUGAAAGUUUGCGGCUCAACCGUAAAAUUGCAGUUGAUACUGGAUAUCUUGAGUGCAGUUGAGGCAGGCGGAAUUCGUGGUGUAGCGGUGAAAUGCUUAGAUAUCACGAAGAACUCCGAUUGCGAAGGCAGCCUGCUAAGCUGCAACUGACAUUGAGGCUCGAAAGUGUGGGUAUCAAACAGGAUUAGAUACCCUGGUAGUCCACACGGUAAACGAUGAAUACUCGCUGUUUGCGAUAUACGGCAAGCGGCCAAGCGAAAGCGUUAAGUAUUCCACCUGGGGAGUACGCCGGCAACGGUGAAACUCAAAGGAAUUGACGGGGGCCCGCACAAGCGGAGGAACAUGUGGUUUAAUUCGAUGAUACGCGAGGAACCUUACCCGGGCUUAAAUUGCAGAUGAAUUACGGUGAAAGCCGUAAGCCGCAAGGCAUCUGUGAAGGUGCUGCAUGGUUGUCGUCAGCUCGUGCCGUGAGGUGUCGGCUUAAGUGCCAUAACGAGCGCAACCCUUGUUGUCAGUUACUAACAGGUUCCGCUGAGGACUCUGACAAGACUGCCAUCGUAAGAUGUGAGGAAGGUGGGGAUGACGUCAAAUCAGCACGGCCCUUACGUCCGGGGCUACACACGUGUUACAAUGGGGGGUACAGAGGGCCGCUACCACGCGAGUGGAUGCCAAUCCCCAAAACCUCUCUCAGUUCGGACUGGAGUCUGCAACCCGACUCCACGAAGCUGGAUUCGCUAGUAAUCGCGCAUCAGCCACGGCGCGGUGAAUACGUUCCCGGGCCUUGUACACACCGCCCGUCAAGCCAUGGGAGCCGGGGGUACCUGAAGUGCGUAACCGCGAGGAGCGCCCUAGGGUAAAACUGGU
rnacentral:rRNA from 1 species